UUUAAGGUUUAACCUGCCCAAUGAUGUUUAAAUGGCUGCGGUAAUUUGACCGUGCAAAGGUAGCAUAGUCAUUAGUUUUUUAAUUGGAAGCUGGAAUGAAUGGUUGGACGAGAAAGGUUCUGUCUCAGUUUAAGUUAAUUAGAAUUUUAUUUUUAAGUUAAAAAGCUUAAAUGGAACUAAAAGACGAGAAGACCCUAUAGAGUUUUAUAUUUAGUUUUGUAGUAUAAAUUAUAUACUUUUAUUAUUAAAUUAAGUAUUUCGUUGGGGUGAUAAUAAAAUUAAAUUAACUUUUGUUAGUAUUUUACAUUUAUUAUUGGUUUUAUGAUCCAUUAUUUAUGAUUAUAAGAUAAAAUUACCUUAGGGAUAACAGCGUAAUUUUUUUAAAAAGUUCUUAUUGAAAAAAGAGUUUGCGACCUCGAUGUUGGAUUAAAAUUUACUUUUGGUGCAGGAGCUAUAGAGUUGGGUCUGUUCGACCUUUAAAAUUUUACAUGAUCUGAGUUUAAACCGGUGUGAGCCAGGUUGGUUUCUAUCUUUAGUAGUAUAAUAUAUUUUAGUACGAAAGGAUUUGGUGUAUAUAAUAUUUAUUUUUAUUUGAAUGGCAGUA
rnacentral:rRNA from 1 species